UACGAAGGGGGCUAGCGUUGUUCGGAAUUACUGGGCGUAAAGCGCACGUAGGCGGAUAUUUAAGUCAGGGGUGAAAUCCCAGAGCUCAACUCUGGAACUGCCUUUGAUACUGGGUAUCUUGAGUAUGGAAGAGGUAAGUGGAAUUGCGAGUGUAGAGGUGAAAUUCGUAGAUAUUCGCAGGAACACCAGUGGCGAAGGCGGCUUACUGGUCCAUAACUGACGCUGAGGUGCGAAAGCGUGGGGAGCAAACAGGG
rnacentral:rRNA from 1 species